AUGUCCCAAAAUAGUUGUCUCAUUCUGCACCUUAGAUCCAUCGCUUCUCUGAGGAGGUGGGUAGCAUGCUUCCUCCACCAUCUUCUGAAAUUGUGGUUAGUCACUAUGCUGAUCAAAUUUCUUAAGUUUUUCAGAGUUGUUUGUCUUUACCAUGUUGUUGUUAUUGUAUAAAUUGUGCUCUGGGUUUUGCUCACCUCACUCUGUAUGAGCUUGUACAAGUGUCUCUAGUAUUCCCUGAAACCAUUACUUUCAUGAUUCUCAUGGUACAAUUUUACCAUUAUAUUAAUGUAUCAUAAUUUGUUCAGCCAUUCACCACUUUAUGGAUACCCCCUUAAUUUCUAUUUAUUUGUCAUUACAGUAAGAGGUCCUAUAAACAUUUUUGUCUUUAUGGGUCUUUUUAUUAAACUUAUUUUUAAAAAAAUAUCCUUUGGGGCAUAUGCCUAAUAGUGGAAUUUCUGGAUCAAAGAGUGAGGCAUAGUUUAAUACAUUUUGAAGCAUAAUUGGAAAUUGCUUUCCAAAAUGGAGGGACCAAUUCAUAGCUCUGUCAGGAGUGCACUUAUCCUCUAAUAUUUGUCAUUUUUCUUUGUGUGUAUAUCUAUAUUGCUAGUCUGAUAGUUGUUAGGUGGAACUUCAGGAUUAUUUCAUUUUACAUUUAUGUAAUUAUUAGUGAUUUCAGCAUUGUUUUUCAUGAUUAUUGUUAGCUUGGAUUGUGCCUUUGACUAGCAUUUUAUAGCUUUUACUGUUAUCUUCAGUUGUGUUGUUAUAACUCAUAUAUAUGUGUGUGUGUAUAUAUAUAUAUAUAUAUAUAUAUAUAUAUAUAUAUAUGUUACAUAUAUAUGUAAGAAUUCCUUUUUCAACAUCCUAGCAGUGAACAAUGAUCGUCAAACUUUAACCUGGAGACCUUCCAGCGAGGUGUGACCCUCUUCUUCCUGAGGCAGCUGACUUCGCUCUUGGAGAAGUCUUAAUUGUUAGGAAGUCUUUCCUUGCAUGGAAUUGAAAUCAACCUCUUUCCACUUGCCUUCUUUUGCCUUCCUUCUUGGCCAAGGAGAACAAUCCAAUCCUGCUUCCAUAUGAUAGCCCUUCAAAUUUCAAAUUCCUAAAGACAACCCCUCCUUAUACUUCCUCCUGGAUUUCCCUCUUCCUGUUCAUGGCACUAUCAUUAAUUAGCCAACGUUUCUUCAUCACAGCCUUCCUUUUCUUCCAACUGCCAACAUCUUAAUUUAGACUCCCAUUGAUCAGAUCAUCCUUCCCCCAUCAAAGCCUUCAAUAGUUCUCCAUAGUCUUCAGAAUAGAAUAUAAACAUACUAGUCUGUAAUUCAAAGAUCUGGUCCUGACUUCAUGUUUUAGGUUUCGUCACUCACUAUUGUCUUCUAGCCAUUUAGGACCACUUUUUAUUUCCUAAAAUGUUAUCUGGCUUUCCUGCCUUUGCUUACAGAAUAGCAGGCAUUUAUCUAGUACUUGCAGUUUACAAAGUCUUUUACGUACAUUAUCUCCUCAGAUCUUGACAUUAUAGCCCUCUUAUCUUUGCCUUUUGAAAAUUCUACCUUUCCUUCUCUACUUUUGCUAUCUCUUACUUUGCAGAUCUCCUCCCCCAUACCCCAAGGAAAUUAUUAUUUCCUCCCCUAAGCUUCUAUAUCACUUACAUUGUAUUAUCCAUUUGGAUGACUACACAUACACACACACACUUACAAGUUUUAAAGUCAUUUAUCUCCCCUACUAGAUACCAAACUCCUUGAGGCCAAGGACAAUAAAGGCAGCUAAGUAUAAAGUAUUAAACUUGGCUUUUACUUCCAGUUCUACUUAUUACCUGUGUUACCUUUGGCAAGCAACUUUAAGGGUUUUUAAAAUGGGAUAAUAAUAUUUGCACUAAAACAACAAAAUAGAAAACUUGCCCUUUAGGGUUAUUAUGAAGAUCAAAUGACGAUGUACAUAAAGUCCUAUUGUACAACUUUGAGCAACUUUUGCACAAAGGUGGUACUCAAGUGGACAUUCAAGGAAUGAAUGUGUUUAUAUAUUUUUGCCUUAUAAUUUACAACUCAAGCUUUGACUCUUUUUGUUCAGAAUCCGUGGAUUUCCUUCCCUUAUAGCCCCAUCCAUCUCAAGUCCUUGAAGGAAUGGAGAAUAUAUAAUAAAACUGAAUUGAAUGUUUUUUUAGUGUUGUGACCUAAUUUAGAGUUUCCUCUUUGGGGCAAACAUGCUAUUUUUUUGUUUUAUGUUUAAUAAAGUGCCUCACGUGAAAAUGUC